GUCACGUCCAUUUGUUUACACAGAAGUUUUCUAAUAUUAACAACUGGACUAAAGUGUCUCAUCUAAUGAGGUUGUUGUGGUCUCCAGGAAUUCCAGGAAUUUAACAUCUGUGAGGAGUGGUCCAAGUUCAAGUUCAACAGUCACUAAGCAAUCAGUUCCUGAUCACACUAGGUUUAUUUAGUAAGCCUUUUUUUUCACUCUGUACAGAAUUUUCAAUUGAGAAUCCGGUCAAAAUAAAUCUUCUUUCCGUGCGCCAGUAAAAAAAAAAAGCUCUUUUAAUUUUUUUCCCUUCAAACUUUACAUUUGAUGCAAUACUUAAAACGUAUUAAAUAUAUUACUUAUUAUUUUUUCCCCUUUAUUCCAGGUGUAUUCUGAUUUUAUGACUUUUGAACAGGCGCAAGCGUAAUGGUUUUUAAUGCGCAUGCUCAGUAGACACGGCAUACUUUUAUGAAGGCGUAAUUCAAUUCCGAGAAGACACCGAGGCUAUCCAGAUGCUAAAGACUAGCUUUGUCAGAAAAAAGAAGAAAAAAAAAGUCAAUACAACACACACAACACUCACUCCAGAAGAAACUAGAAAUGUAGUGUAAAAAGAGGAAGCCAGAGAGGAAGAGGAAGUGGGACGGAGAAAAAGGAAGUGACCGUAAAAUCAUCAGGACCAAGUGAAAAUCAGGAGGAGGGACGUUUCAGGAGGAAAGGUGAAGAAAGACACGAUUCUCAGCCAAUCAGAAAAGGUAAGAUGUUUUUACAGGCUUUUUGUGUUUCUGUUCAAUGUGCCAUUUUUUUCUUUCUCUUUUGGGUGAAAUUUGACAUUAUUGAACUAAAAC